rnacentral:rRNA from 1 species
CAUAUCAAUAAGCGGAGGAAAAGAAACCAACAGGGAUUGCCCUAGUAACGGCGAGUGAAGCGGCAACAGCUCAAAUUUGAAAUCUGGCGCAAGCCCGAGUUGUAAUUUGUAGAGGAUGUUUCUGGCGACGCGCCUUCCGAGUUCCCUGGAACGGGACGCCAUAGAGGGUGAGAGCCCCGUACGGUUGGAUGCCUAGCCUCUGUGAAACUCCUUCGACGAGUCGAGUAGUUUGGGAAUGCUGCUCUAAAUGGGAGGUAUACGUCUUCUAAAGCUAAAUACCGGCCAGAGACCGAUAGCGCACAAGUAGAGUGAUCGAAAGAUGAAAAGCACUUUGAAAAGAGGGUUAAAAAGUACGUGAAAUUGUUGAAAGGGAAGCGUUCAUGACCAGACUUGGGCAGGUUGAUCAUCCGUGGUUCUCCGCGGUGCACUCUGCCUGCCCAGGCCAGCAUCAGUUCGCCCCGGGGGAUAAAGGCUUUGGGAAUGUGGCUCCCUCGGGAGUGUUAUAGCCCACUGCGUAAUACCCUGGGGUGGACUGAGGUUCGCGCUCUGCAAGGAUGCUGGCGUAAUGGUCAUCAACGACCCGUCUUGAAACACGGACCAAGGAGUCGUCUUCGUAUGCGAGUGUUCGGGUGUCAAACCCCUACGCGUAAUGAAAGUGAACGUAGGAGAGAGCUUCGGCGCAUCUCCGACCGAUCCUGAUGUUCUCGGAUGGAUUUGAGUAAGAGCAUACGGGGCCGGACCCGAAAGAAGGUGAACUAUGCCUGUAUAGGGUGAAGCCAGAGGAAACUCUGGUGGAGGCUCGCAGCGGUUCUGACGUGCAAAUCGAUCGUCAAAUAUGGGCAUGGGGGCGAAAGACUAAUCG